AUCAGCUAUUUAUACACAUUGAUAAGAUCCACCCUGAGCUGUCUCCUCUCCAGGCUGAACAAUCCCAGCUCUCUCAGGCUUUCCUCAUGUGAGAGAUGCUCCGGUCCCUUCAUUAUCUUUGUGGCCCUUCCCUGGACUCUCUCCAGUAUGUCCACGCCUCUCUUGCACUGGGAAGAAUACAAGAGAGACAUCUCCUGGCAUUUUUGCCUGUCUUCCUAUUCACAGGAAUGGAACAUUAUUCAGCUUGGAGGAGGUGAUCCUUGAACAUUAACCAGAUUUCCUGAGCCCCUUAUCCCACGGGACCCUUCCAAGCAUACAUUUGAAGAGGCCAGUGUCUGCUCGCCUGAAGUCCAGGGCUGCGAGCUUGCUUUUUACCCUCCUCCCUCCCCUCAGGAUCCUGAGCUCCACCAUCUCACGGUCGCUGCAGCCAAAGCUGCCUUUGAGCUUCACAUUUCCAGCAAGCCCCUUGUGGUUGGUGAGUAGGAGGUCCAGCAGACCCCCUCUCCUCAUUGGCUCCUCUAUCACUUGGAGGAGGAAGUUAUCAACAGUACACUCCAGGAACCUCCUGGAUUGCUUGUGUCCUGCCGUGUUGUCACUCCAGCAGAUACUGGGGUUGUUGAAGUCCCCCACAAGGACCAGGACCUGCGAACGUGAAGCUACUCCUGUUAGAGGGCCUCAUCCGCUUGUUCUUUCUGGCAGAUGGCCUGUAGCAGACUUCCACUCUAAUGCCACCUAUACCUCUCCUCUCUUUAAUCCUAACCCAUGAGCUCUCUGUUGGCUCCUCACCCAUCCCCAGCAGGACUGAAGAGAAGCCCAUGCCCUUGUCUACCACCCCCAGAGCUCUGUAGUCACUUUGGACCAUGCCUGGGUUUCCCUGGCAGAAUUACUUGCAUCCACAUGGAAGAACAGCUGGGAGCAGCAGUCAGAAAAGGGUGCCAGCGUGGCCACCCAGGACAUCUGCAGCUCCCCAGGUGUUGGUGAGCACAGGGAUGGGCCAGACAAGGGAGGUGUGUGGGUGUGGAUAUAGGACCAGGGCACGGGUUUGUUGUCCAUGUGUGAACCCCUGGAGUGGAGACUCCAGUAAUGCUGGUCUAGGGCAUCUCUGUGCCAUCCCUCCAGGUGACCUCCCGGCUCCUAACCUCUUCUUGAACACCUUUGGCACUCAGGACUGGAAACUGCUUUUGUUUCACUGCUCCAUCGACAGGCAUUCUCCCGCUACCCGAAUCAUCUUCUGCAAGGAUGGGGUGGAGGAGCACAGCAUGAAAGCCCAACAGGGGAAGUUGAGCUACAUCAUGGAGCGGAAUGUCACCCUGGGAAGUGAGGGAACGUACACGUGUGGGUAUCAGCACAGGAACAGGAGCAACUGGGUGAGGAGCUCUGCCCUCAGUACACCUCAGAACCUGACUUUCACAGGUGAGAUGUGUCACUAGGGCACAAGUAGGCACUGCUCCGCGGCUCCAUAGACCCCAGAGGAGUUUGGAGACUCUGAUGUGCCCAAUGGCAUGUCCCUGGGCAGUUGGGAUGCUGGCGGUCAGUGUGCAGUUCAGCCCAGCCUUUGCUGCCAGAGCAAUUCCUCCGUCACGGGAAAGCAUCCUGCUCCUCUCCUGUCCCAGCAUCACAGAAACAGGAGAGUGGUGGUGCCAGAUCUAAUCCAGAGCAACAGCUGUGCAAUGCAUUUAUUUGUUUAUUUAUUUAUUGCAGCGGUUGAUAGAUGGUGGAUCGGGGCUUCCUUACAGUUGCUUAGACUGUGCAGUACCUGGGAGAACUGGAGACUCUUACCUUGUCCCUUUUUCCUCCCAGGCAGUGAGUCCAGCUCCCAGGAAGGGACAUCGACCACAGGUGAGUGAUUCCCUCCCUGCACACCCACUGUCCCCCAGCAUCGGUCUGGCAGAUGCCAGGCUGCUGACACCAGGACACAGGGAGGUUCAUCAACCAGGAUCUGGCCUGGCUCUAGGGGCAUGUCCUGCUCUCUGCUUCCUCUCCCCAUGACCUCCUCUUCCCCAACACCUUCUGUCUCGCCAGCUCCCAAAACCCUGAUUGUCCACAACUUCUCCAUAUACAUCAUGACGGGACUGGUGGCCAUCUCUCUCAUCCUCCUGACUGCAGCCAGCUACUAUGCCAUGAAGAAAG